rnacentral:lncRNA from 1 species
AAAAAUACAUAUAAUUGAAGUCCCAUGUCUGAAACUCCAAAAUGUCACUCCAUUUUCAUGAAUUAGUUACCAUCGCUGAUACAUUGCUAAACGAUGAAUAUUCCAUUACCAAUAGUGGAAUUCUGCUACUAUUAGUAAUACAGAGCGUCCUAUUACAAAUAGAUGCCCUGAUCUGUUUCAGAAUGGUCUGUAGUCAUUUCAAAAUGCUCAGAAUGUGUAUUGGUUUUGGCAGAGUUGUCCACAACGCAUUGUGGUUACCUCUUGAUGGAUAUGAAGCAAAAUAACGUUGAGCAUCGGUGUUUGGUCGUUUGGAAC